AUUGAACGCUGGCGGUAUGCUUAACACAUGCAAGUCGAACGGUAGCAGGCCUUCGGGCGCUGACGAGUGGCGGACGGGUGAGUAACGCGUAGGAAUCUGCCUCAUAGUGGGGGACAACGUGGGGAAACUCACGCUAAUACCGCAUACGCCCUACUGGGGAAAGCGGGGGCUCUUCGGACCUCGCGCUAUGAGAUGAGCCUGCGGUAGAUUAGCUAGUUGGGAGGGUAAAGGCCUACCAAGGCGACGAUCUAUAGCUGGUCUGAGAGGACGAUCAGCCACACUGGGACUGAGACACGGCCCAGACUCCUACGGGAGGCAGCAGUGGGGAAUAUUGGACAAUGGGCGCAAGCCUGAUCCAGCAAUACCGCGUGUGUGAAGAAGGCCUUAGGGUUGUAAAGCACUUUCAAUUGGGAGGAAAACCUGCCGGUCAAUACCCGGUAGCUUGACAUUACCUUUAGAAGAAGCACCGGCUAACUCCGUGCCAGCCGCAGCCGUAAAAC
rnacentral:rRNA from 1 species